rnacentral:rRNA from 1 species
UACAGCAGGGAGCGAGUGCUAUCCGGAUUGACUGGCCUUAAAGACUGCGUAUUCCGAUUUAUAGGACACGAGUGAAAUGCCGCGACCUAAAUGAGGAAAUGCUUUUGAGAAUGAAAAACUUGACUAGGGUGAAGGUACACGGAAUGUCUCAUGUGGAGGUGAAGUGCUUACAUAUGAUGAAGAACACCGAUAGCUAAGGGAGUGCCCCAUAUCUUCCCUGAUGAUGAGGGACGAACGCGUGAUGAGCGAAGAGGAAUACAUACCCUGAUAGGCCACGCCCUAGACCAUGCUAACUGAACAUUUGACAGAUCGAUGCUGAGUGUCUGAGGAAAACCAUUAAGUUAGUCGCCUGUGGAGCACAAUCGCAAGAAUGAAACUCAAAGGAAUUGACGGGGGUCCCCACAAGCGGUGGAGUAUGGGGUUUAAUUCAAUGAUACGCGAGAAACCUUACCUGGGCUCGAACGCUAGAUGAAUAUUGAGGAAACUUGAUAGGCCCGCAAGGCACCUUUAGUGAGGUGCUGCAUGGCUGUCGUCAGCUCGUGCCGUGAGGUGUUGGGCUACAUCUCGCAAUGAUCGCAUCCCGUAUUGUCAGUCAGCAGCGAUUCUGUCGGGGACUCUGCAAAGACUGCCUCCUGUAAGGACGAGAGGAAGGACGGGAGGACGCCAAGUCAUCAUGUCCUUUACAUCCAGGGUUGCACUCCUACUCACGGCAUGUACUGAGGCAGCGAGCUCGCGAGAUACAAGACGAUAUCUCAGAAAGCAUGUCCCAGUUCGGAUUGGAGUCUGCAACUUGCAUCCAAGAAAUCCGAAUCCGUAGUAAUCGCGCACCAUCAUGGCGCGGUGAAUUCGCUCCCUGCCUU